rnacentral:tmRNA from 1 species
GGGGAUGUAAUGGUUUCGACGGGGAUCUUGAAAACAGGGACAGCCAUCCGCGGGCCGGUUAACCGCGUCAACAAGCCGGAAAACUUUCUAAAAAGAAACGACAACAAUAGAGAAUUACUCGCUGCCUGAUUAACGGCAGCCGUCGGACUCCGGCUUCCCGCAGCCGGAGAGCCCGGCGUCGACUCAGCGGGGCACUUUUCUGCUUAAGCUUUGCGGCAGGAAAAGACUCAUGAAGCUACUGAGGCACGCAGCCUGUCAUUCGGCGGCGUGACGAGGGAAUGAGAAAAGACUGACUGUGAUGGGAGAGGUUCUUGCAGAUGGGUUUUCGGACAGGGGUUCGAUUCCCCUCAUCUCCAUAC